UACGUAGGGUCCGAGCGUUGUCCGGAAUUAUUGGGCGUAAAGGGCUCGUAGGCGGUUUGUCGCGUCUGCUGUGAAAUCCCGAGGCUCAACCUCGGGUCUGCAGUGGGUACGGGCAGACUGGAGUGCGGUAGGGGAGAAUGGAAUUCCUGGUGUAGCGGUGGAAUGCGCAGAUAUCAGGAGGAACACCGAUGGCGAAGGCAGUUCUCUGGGCCGUAACUGACGCUGAGGAGCGAAAGCGUGGGGAGCGAACAGG
rnacentral:rRNA from 1 species